rnacentral:rRNA from 1 species
UGCUCAGGACGAACGCUGGCGGCGUGCUUAACACAUGCAAGUCGAACGCUGAAGCUUGGUGCUUGCACUGGGUGGAUGAGUGGCGAACGGGUGAGUAAUACGUGAGUAACCUGCCCUUGACUCUGGGAUAAGCCUGGGAAACUGGGUCUAAUACUGGAUAUGACCUCCUGUCGCAUGGUGGGGGGUGGAAAGGGUUUGUACUGGUUGUGGAUGGGCUAACAGCCUAUCAGCUUGUUGGUGGGGUAAUGGCCUACCAAGGCGACGACGGGUAGCCGGCCUGAGAGGGUGACCGGCCACACUGGGACUGAGACACGGCCCAGACUCCUACGGGAGGCAGCAGUGGGGAAUAUUGCACAAUGGGCGCAAGCCUGAUGCAGCGACGCCGCGUGAGGGAUGACGGCCUUCGGGUUGUAAACCUCUUUCAGCACGGAAGAAGCGAAAGUGACGGUACGUGCAGAAGAAGCGCCGGCUAACUACGUGCCAGCAGCCGCGGUAAUACGUAGGGCGCAAGCGUUGUCCGGAAUUAUUGGGCGUAAAGAGCUCGUAGGCGGUUUGUCGCGUCUGCUGUGAAAAGCCCGGGGCUUAACCCCGGGUGUGCAGUGGGUACGGGCAGACUUGAGUGCAGUAGGGGAGACUGGAACUCCUGGUGUAGCGGUGAAAUGCGCAGAUAUCAGGAAGAACACCGAUGGCGAAGGCAGGUCUCUGGGCUGUUACUGACGCUGAGGAGCGAAAGCAUGGGGAGCGAACAGGAUUAGAUACCCUGGUAGUCCAUGCCGUAAACGUUGGGCACU